rnacentral:rRNA from 1 species
UGAACACGCUCGUUUUCUCACAGCAGAAGACGAACAACACUUCCUGGGCCGCGGGCCCCCGAGCGGCGGCGAACGAACGAACAAAGCCGACGCGCACGCGCCGCUGACUCCUCCCCCAACACCCCACCCACCUUCUCCGUCUUCUUCCUCCUCAGACCAACGGAGCCGACCCGAUCCGGUCAAAAUCCAGACGACUCACUGCUUCCUCCGCCCUCCCUCCCUCCCGCCCCGAUCCCCCGCCAUGGUGUGCGUGGCGUGCCUGAUCCCGCUCUUCCUCAUCCCCUUCGUCAACGCGCUCCCCUACCUCUUCGACCUCCUCCUCAGCAAGGUUUAUCGCAUGCUUGGAUGGGAAUACAGGAGGCCCGAGAGAGUCCCAGCUGCCUGCCCGUUCAAGCCUGCAGCAAACAAGACUGAAGGUGUGGCGGGUGAAUCAAAACCAGUAGCAAAUCCUCAUGUUGCAAGUGCAAAUCCUCUGGUGGAACCCCAGAGUGCUACCACAGAAAUGAAGAAAGAUGAUUAGAACAUGUAACGCUCGCCCGAUUUGACUUAUGUGAACAACUCUCACUAUUUGUAUUUGUGACUGCGUCGUAACCGAGAAAUAAUUAAUGUAAGAUUGUAUAUUUGGGCAAGGGAUUGCUAAAAUAUUCCGCUUUCAGCAUAGGUUAUGCAUAUGCAUGUGUUGUGAUAUUACUCAAAUGCGUGUCCAAUCUCUUACCACCAUUGGUAACAAAGAAGUGAUCCAAGUCAAAGAUCACUUGACAUACUCGAGUAUGUCGGGUCCAUGUAAGCCCCAUCCUGUCUCUUCUCUUCCUCUAGGUUUCGUGUGUUGUGUUGCUCUGCCUGCUGGGGCGGUGGACAUGGUGAAUAUCUCGAAUUUAGCUAGUGUGUCCCUCCUUGGUGGUUGCAGUUUGUUUGCAAGUUUUUGGAUUUCUACAGCCAGGACAUGUAAUCUGGUUGACCAAAUAUUUCUGUUUCCGUUGGGAUUUGGUUGCCUGAAUUGUCAUAUAUCCCUGGUAGUUCUGUUUUGA